rnacentral:rRNA from 1 species
UACGGGGGGGAGCAAGCGUUGUUCGGAUUUACUGGGCGUAAAGGGCGCGUAGGCGGUCAGCACAAGUCAGUUGUGAAAUCUCCGGGCUUAACUCGGAAAGGUCAACUGAUACUGUGCGACUAGAGUGCGGAAGGGGCAACUGGAAUUCUCGGUGUAGCGGUGAAAUGCGUAGAUAUCGAGAGGAACACCUGCGGCGAAGGCGGGUUGCUGGGCCGACACUGACGCUGAUGCGCGAAAGCCAGGGGAGCGAACAGG